GGUAUCGGGUGAAACCAGACCCAUCGCGCCGAGCGGAGGUGACCAGAUGUCGCGGUCGCGCCAGGCAGCGCAGGCCUCAGAGGGGACUCGCCGGGACACCACCAUGACGCCCCAAGCCACCGGUCCCCCCUGCGCAGAUGGCCCACUUGGAAAUCCCGCCCCGUCGCUGCCGCAUGGGAGAUGCCGGUCGCAAAAUCUGCUGCAAUCAGCAGAAGACAAAACCUCUCGCAAGCCGUGCGACCGGCGAUAAAAGGGAGAGGGAGCGGGAGCGGCCCCACGGAGGCCCCUCAGGAACAAUGGCAAUCCUUCAGGGAGCCCGCGGCCAAGCGCCUGACAAAGGCGCUCGCUACCCCCAGACCCCAGCUGCUGCCUUGCCACAAAACAAGGGAGCGCAAAUUUGGUUACUUUCAUCUAAAUCCUCUUAGGCGGCCUGAAUGCAAGGAGUGGGCGAGCACCCUUGCGCUUUGCACGCCCUCCCUCCGCCAUCGGCACGGACAGCCUGGAGGGCUGGGUGACCAUUUAUUGAAGGUUUGUUUGACCAUUUCACGCUGCAGCUUGGUAGAAACGAGGCCCUUUCUGUACACUGCAGCAGGCACGGAGCAGGGAGACAGGCAGCAGAGGGGCACGGAGAGAAAUCUUGCUCGCUAUGUGCUGUUUUGCCAGGAAGACGCUGAACUUUUCGUGUGCUGAGGAGCCAGAUGAGCAGCACAAGUCAUUAGUCACCCAGGCUUAAAGCUGUCAGUGAGAUCAACGCCAAGAUUCUCUGGACCUGGAGCAAGGGAGAAGCCUCAGCUAACCAUCAGACUUGUCCUAGGAACCAAUGGAUAUUCCUCUUCUGCUGCAGAUUUUUGUAGAGCUUGGUCAGUCUGCAAGAACAUUUUCGUGUUGUGCUGACACCAGAACAACCAGUUUAAGACAGUUUGUUGUGAUUGCAUGUGGUCGAUACCACUGAAUACGCAAAAUUUGGUAGCAGUCACAGUACGUAUUUGGGCAGCUCCUCUCGGAGUUUUUAGGCAAAUGGCAUCAGAAUAUAUAUAUAUAUAUUAUAUUAUAUAUAUAAAACCAGGUGAUACUACACAUUGAUAGACUCAUUUUUACUUUCCCCUGAAUAUGCCAACUGUUCAAUAUAACAUUCUCAUUGACUUUUAUUACCAUAGAAUUAAAAAAUAAAUAAUCAUAAAAAAUCAAAAUAAACCCUAAUCUACCAAAAAUAUCAUAAUUAAGACUUACAUGAUUUCUGUGACAAACUUUUAUUCAUGACAGUGUGAUGUAAGGGCAAAGUGUCAAUAUUGUCUUUGAAUUUUUGGUUGAUUUGGCUUGCCAGACACUUACAGCUAUUUAAACAUAGCUCUGUGUAUUUAAUUAUAUCAUACAUGAUGUCAUUUUUUACUACAGACGCACUUGACAUUUAAUUUAUUUCAGCCAGUAAUUACUAAACAAUAAUUAAGCUUUUACAACUAUAACUGCUUUUCACUAUCCUUGUAUCCUGUGGAGCAAGUUACAGCAGAAGCAGCAAAGUUUAUGUUUCAGAUAUCAAGAUUUAUUUGCUUUCAGGUUACACAUCAGUAAUUUUACAGAGUUUCUAUAUACAAAGGAAGGACUGGGACCAAAACAACACGUUAAAGGAUCUGUGUAAUCCCUUACAGAGAUGAGAGGGAGUAAAGAAUAGGUUGACUGUGUUAAAAAUAACGACAUACAUAGGGAGGCUCUUUUAUUAUAUAUAUAUAUCUGAAAUGCAUAUUAUCUGUGUAUUACAUAUAUAUUAUAUAUAUCAAAUAUAAAAUUAUAUAUAUAUAUGUGCAAAGACAAAUGGAGUUCUGUGAUAUCUAAGAGGGCUUCAUAUGCAAUAAAUUUGGCAUCUUUUAGACA